UGGACAGGCUGGCAACGCGUAGGAAGAAGCCUGUUCCAUAUCGGUUUGCGCUGGAAAACAGAGAACACGAGGGCCUGGGGGAGGAUGCAGGACCCGUCACAGCACUGACCGUGGCCCAGUGAGAGGUUGAGAUGUGAGCAAGACCUGAAGGAAGUGAGAACUGGAGAGGAAGGGCACUCCUGGCAGAGGGCAGAGCUGGAGGAAAGCCCUGAGGCUGGCACACUGUGGGGAGAGCGAAGAGACAAUCCAAGAGUGAUGAAUAUAAGACGGUAAAAGCUACUUCUGUGUCUGCACAAAGUAAGCAUGAAGCUGUGGAGCGAGGAGCGCCGGGCCAUUUCCUCUACCAGCUGUCCGCAAUGAUUCAGAGCUGAGGCAGGUGAAUUUCACGUAAAUCACCCCGCCUACAGACAUCUCAGCUGCACCAGCAGGGAUUUAUUAGUGAGCUCUGUGAGCGAUGGUUUACACCGGCACCAAGCUGGCCUUUGCUUACCCGUCUCACUCCCUCCACCUACCGGUGGCUGCUGAAAACAAGUCCCCAAAAAAAUCCAGGCUUCCGUUUUAAAAUAAUCGGUCCUGACGAGUCUACAUAGCAUUGCUUCAUUAGUUAUAAAUAAUGCUCUAUGUAUUUAACAAAAUUGACACAAUCUGGGCAGGCAAAUGAAGGCAAUAGCGAACCUGACUUCCAGACUUCAGCACCAUUUCCGUUCUGAGAUGUAUUUCUGUGUACACUGGACAUGGGGUGCUGGGGUUAAUGUCACCCUUUCUGCCCUCCCCAGGGCAAGCUCCCCCAGAGAAGCUGGAUUUUCUAAGAAGUGUCAGCCCUAAGAAUUAGUGAAGAGCCCAACAAGGCGUUGGUUGUGAGUCCUAACCAAGCUGGUUGACCCCCAAAAAUGCCUGGCUUCCUCCCCCCUCCCCCAGGGACCUGGGCGGCACUUUCACGUCCCUCUCACUUACUCGCGGCUGCCCCUUCCUGGGGAAAUCUGAGCCAGGUCCUCAGGCCUGAAAGAGGCUCCUCCAGGUUCCACACCUGUCUCACCUGAGCCAUCAUCGCCCAAUGCCCAGGAGCCCGGACACACAGAUGUCCCUCUUCCUCCUCGUCCAUGGUCAGCCUGGGUCCUGCCUCCAGCCACCUCCUGUGGAUUCAGAGCCCAAGUGCUACUAGCAAGUCUCAUACAAUGCCAGCCCACAGAGGUGCUUCAGGUGUUGGGUGAAGGCAGGACAGAGGAAAAUAAGCUGGAGAGGAAAUACUCUCCUGUAAAGAGUCAGAACAGCAGAGAGACCAGAGAGUGACCCCUGCGUCUCAUGGAGGAGGAGAGGGGCAGAGGAAGAGAGACCACGGCUGACUCCACCUUGCUUUUCCAGGUUGAAUAAUAAAAAUAUCUAAACCAGGGGGAAAAUCGGAAUGCCUAUGUGCUGUUAAGAACACCCAGUAUUAGAAUCAUUUUAAUCACCAGAAGGGGGCAGCAUCUGAAAGACUAUGUAAGUACUUGUUAUUCUGCCUCUCCAUUAAGCUCAAAUACUAAAAGCCUAAAAAAUACGACGUUUCCAUUUAAGUAUCUCAAUCUGCACCUCCUUUAUAUCGCUUUAAAAUGUAUAUUUUUAUUGCA